rnacentral:rRNA from 1 species
UACAGAGGUCCCAAGCGUUGUUCGGAUUCACUGGGUUUAAAGGGUGCGUAGGUGGGUUGGUAAGUCAGUGGUGAAAUCUCCGAGCUUAACUUGGAAACUGCCAUUGAUACUAUCAGUCUUGAAUAUUGUGGAGGUCAGCGGAAUAUGUCAUGUAGCGGUGAAAUGCUUAGAUAUGACAUAGAACACCAAUUGCGAAGGCAGCUGGCUACACAUAUAUUGACACUGAGGCACGAAAGCGUGGGGGAUCAAACAGG